rnacentral:rRNA from 1 species
UGCAAGUCGAACGGAGAUCUUGAAUAGCUUGCUAAUUGAGAUCUUAGUGGCGGACGGGUUAGUAACACGUGAGAACCUACCCUUUAGACAGGAAUAGCCCACGGAAACGUGGAUUAAUGCCUGAUAGUCUCUACGGAGUAAAUGGUGCCUUCUGGUAUCGCUAGAGGAUGGGCUCGCGGCCUAUCAGCUUGUUGGUGAGGUAAAGGCUCACCAAGGCGACGACGGGUAGCUGGUCUGAGAGGACGAUCAGCAACACUGGAACUGAGACACGGUCCAGACACCUACGGGUGGCAGCAGUCGAGAAUCAUUCACAAUGGAGGCAACUCUGAUGGUGCAACGCCGCGUGGAGGAUGACGGUCCUAGGAUUGUAAACUCCUGUCAUUGGGGAGUAAGACUUAAGCGUUAAGAGCGUUUGAGUUUGAUAGUACCCAAAGAGGAAGGGACGGCUAACUUCGUGCCAGCAGCCGCGGUAAUACGAAGGUCCCAAGCGUUGUUCGGAAUCACUGGGCGUAAAGCGUGUGUAGGCUGCGCGGAAAGUCAAAUGUGAAAGCCCGGGGCUCGACCUCGGAACUGCAUUCGAUACUCCCGUGCUAGAGUAAUGGAGAGGUAAGUGGAAUUCCUGGUGUAGCAGUGAAAUGCGUGGAUAUCAGGAGGAACAUCAAUGGCGAAGGCAACUUACUGGACAUUUACUGACGCUCAGACACGAAGGCUAGGGUAGCGAAAGGGAUUAGAUACCCCUGUAGUCCUAGCAGUAAACGGUGCUCGCUUGGUGUGGGAGGAUUCGACCCCUUCUGUGCCGGAGCUAACGCGUUAAGCG